AACAUAGAAAUUGCAUUCAAUUAACGUAUAUGUUAGUAAAGAUAAAACUUGAUAGAUCUUUUCCCUUUGCAAUAAAUACUGCAUAAAAUGGAUGCCUUUAGGCGACUUGAAUAAAAUCUGGCACCCGGGAAAGAAUGGAUAUUGUACUUGUUGGAAUUUUAAAAGUAUAUUAUGACAGGUUGACGGUGACGGAACAAUUGCAGAUUUCCGUACUUCCCGGCCCAAUUCGGCUAACAAAAUAUGUCAACGUUCCGUCUCGUUUCUUCUCAUGUAUAUCUAAUGCGCACAUCUCUUUCUCUGUCUAUACGACGAAACGUUGCAUUUGAAUUUGGAACGUUAGAAUAGAAAGAGGUAGCACAGCUAGUGACUGAAAAAAAAAAAAUGUAGGUAUCUGACAGCUGAAUGGUUCGGAAUUUAAAAAUUUGAGAAAAUCCUUUCACGACCAGUUUUCAAUAGUUCUGAACUCGUUUUGAACGUACAUUACGUCUAGCGUCGGCGCAUUUUGUGUUUUUUUUCUAUUCCGACUAUAAAUUAUCGUUUUACGGUUUUGUGCCAGCGAAGUUAAUAUGUAUUUGAACAACAGCGCAUUAUGCAGAGGCGGAAAAAGAUGCUCCUGGAGCGACGCAGUGGAGACUGAUCUGUGUGGAUUGGGAGCUGUCAGCUGGCGAACUAUAGAGCGCAGAACAGAAGACUAGGCACUCUCUCGUUUGGGAGACCCGGCUCCGCUCGGGGGUCACUGAGCCGGCAGUAAGUACAUUUGAUUUUUAAAAGACAAACAUUUUUUAAAUAUAUUUUAGAUUCAAGAUUGAUUUAUUACAUUUAUUGAAAUAAAAUUAUUUUCGUCGUCCAUACAAAUAACUAAUUA